GGACGCAUGGGGCCUCGAGGGUUAAAGGGAGUCAUUGGAAUCAAUGGACCCCCAGGCCAGCCUGGGGCACCUGACCUGAAGGGACUUCCUGGAAAACCUGGCGAGCCAGGUCCAGGUGGAAUGAUGGGAUUUCCAGGGGUUCGUGGACCACAGG